UGCCAGCAGCCGCGGUAAUACGGAGGGUGCAAGCGUUAAUCGGAAUUACUGGGCGUAAAGCGCGCGCAGGCGGAUUGUUAAGUCUCAUGUGAAAUCCCUGGGCUUAACCCAGGAACUGCUUUUGAAACUCCAUAUCUAGAAUCCGGUAGAGGUCAGGAGAAUUCCUAGUGUAGAGGUGAAAUUCGCAGAUAUUAGGAGGAAUACCAGUGGCGUAGGCGCCUGACUGGGCCGGUAUUGACGCUGAGGUACGAAAGCGUGGGGAGCAAACAGGAUUAGAUA
rnacentral:rRNA from 1 species